rnacentral:rRNA from 1 species
CACGUAGGGGCCAAGCGUUGUCCGGAUUUAUUGGGCGUAAAGAGCUCGUAGGCGGUUGGGUAAGUCGGGUGUGAAAACUCCGGGCUCAACUCGGAGACGCCACCCGAUACUGCUCUGACUUGAGUCCGGUAGGGGAGUGGGGAAUUCCUGGUGUAGCGGUGAAAUGCGCAGAUAUCAGGAGGAACACCGGUGGCGAAGGCGGUUCUCUGGGCAUGUCCUGACGCUGAGGAGCGAAAGUGUGGGGAGCGAACAGG